rnacentral:lncRNA from 7 species
AGGGGAGCCGAGGAGGAAUGGAGGGUUGUUGGGUGCUGUGUUUGUCCGUGUUUCAGCCUGGCUGGGGGCUCUGCUCUUCAGCGGGUGGGUUCUCGGCUUGCCUCUCGGCCCGAAGGAGCGGGUAGCGCUGAGGCGGCGGGAAGGCGGCCCGCGCAGUCAGUCAGUCAGUCAGUCACCGUGCCCGUCAGCCGCUCUGCUUCACAGGGAAGGACUGCAGCGAGUUUUGCAGGAAAUGCUAGUGAUGUGUUCAUGGCAACCAGCAGGUCAGGAGAGCUGGUAUACAGAGGAAUGGGAGCAGCUGAAAAUAGCUGAAAAUAAGAACAGAAAAGUUGCCUGAGAGUUGUUCUCAGCCUCCUCUGCAGUCUCGUGGUUACUCUGACGACUUCACUCUGCUGUGGCUCAGCAUGACAGCCUGUACCUGGAAAUGAUCUCCUCUGAAGCAGAAGCACAGAGGACUCUGCUCCUGAGGAGCGGUGCAUAUCCCAGCCUCACACAGCUGAGAGCUCCGACCGGGGACCGGCACGAUAGCAUCUCGCUGUACAGAUUCCCACAGCUGCAAAUGAGAUCGCUGCCAGGGCUCUUCGACCAGGGCAGCUUCUCAGCUCCCACUCUGCUCUGACCUCAGCACAGAAAGGAUUUGAAGCACUUGAAGAUACCCUUGGAUUCGGGAUCUACACAGAACCUCAGCAAAGUUUAUGAGGUUCCUGGUAACCCAUAUGGGUUUGUGAGCCCACACCUGGCUGGUUUCCUGCUUGGAUCCCCUCACACACCUAGCGCUUGUCACCUGCACUGGAGUUCUGCUCUCUUCUGCAGUAACUGCCGUCCUCUGGGCUGGAACCCAAAAGAAGACCUUGUGAAACCAGUCACCAUUUCUGGGGGUAAAUGUUCUCUUUUUUUCUCUCAGAAGCAGAGAGGAACUUCCAGGACUGGUCACAGGACUGUGAGACGGGUCUGGGAUUACCUCUCUGAGCGCUGGGAGCAAGCCGUGCAUUCUGCAAACCCAAUCUGCAGCCAGCACCAAUCACGUGUUGGAGCCCCACUAACAGCCAACGCGAUGCUUCACCAUGUCAGGGAAUCUGCAAGGUUGCACUCUCCUACAGAGACCUGAAAUGGAGUACAGUACUUCCAGGCAAGGUUCAUUCCAAACAGACAGGAUAAAUGGACACUCAGUGGCGUGAAGUGUAUGUCAUAAUUAAGGUAUUACAUAAUCAUGCCUUCUCUCUGCUGUUAAAUACAAAAACAGCAUCUUUUAC